rnacentral:rRNA from 2 species
UAAUACGGAGGAUCCAAGCGUUAUCCGGAAUCAUUGGGUUUAAAGGGUCCGUAGGCGGUCUUAUAAGUCAGUGGUGAAAGCCCAUCGCUCAACGAUGGAACUGCCAUUGAUACUGUAAGACUUGAAUGCUUAGGAAGUAACUAGAAUAUGUAGUGUAGCGGUGAAAUGCUUAGAUAUUACAUGGAAUACCAAUUGCGAAGGCAGGUUACUACUAAGUGAUUGACGCUGAUGGACGAAAGCGUGGGGAGCGAACAGGAUUAGAUACCCUGGUAGUCCACGCCGUAAACGAUGGAUACUAGCUGUUCGGAGCAAUCUGAGUGGCUAAGCGAAAGUGAUAAGUAUCCCACCUGGGGAGUACGCACGCAAGUGUGAAACUCAAAUGAAUUGACGG